GUACGGUACAGGGACCUCUCCUCUUUCCCCUUUCUGUAUUUUUCCUCAGUUGCGCCCGAACUGGAGCUGAACAGGAAGGAAGACAAGCACCAAAUGGAAGCUGAGCCGUCCGGCGAGACCUAUUGCCGGCCGUGCUCCUGUACCUCCGGCCGUCCGCCCAUCCCGUCGACGGACGUCGCUGCUCCACCCAACACCUCGGGGUCAGAGCUAUGGAGCCUUGAGCUCGACGAAGGGACCCCGCCUCUGUUCCUCUGACCCCGACCCUUUUCCCGCCGGCGGCGUUGGAUGACGCCGGCCGCACCUCCGUGUCUCCGCUAUCGGCCUCUCCCCGCAACCGCAGCGGCAAGGAGGUGGUCUUCGUCGCCAGUGGAGCACGCCGAGCCCAUCGACACUCGCUGUCCCCGUAGAGGAGAAAUUGGGAGACAAAAAGUACAUCCUAGCAAGAUCGACACAUCCUCAAAUUUCCAAGCAAUCAGGUCUGCAAGUACAUCUCUAAGAAAUACAGUAGACUCAUCCGUGGGAGUUAGAACUGUUGUGGUGAUGCUUGUGUCGUCGACCAGAAGAAAGCUGCCAAGCAACAAGUCGCGGACUCAAUGUCGCACCUGGGCAAAGGUAAAUUUCUUUUUCUUGUGUUGCUCUAGUGGACACCAAUUGUGCAUAAUUGUGUGAACUAGUACUGAUUGGGAGAUGGACUUUCAGUCCAAGUUACAUAUAUUUUUCAGUUUCAGUGAACUAGUACUGAUUAGAAUAUGUGGGCUUCGGUUGAUUGAAGAAUUCUUCAUUUUGUCUUUCAUCAAACUAGAGGUAGAGGUCACAAUGGUCCUUUGAAGUGAUGGAUUCAGAGCAUAUUCCAGCUAUUACAAAUUUGUUGGAUGGCGAAAAGCGGCAAAAAUCACUUUCAUUGAAGUUCAAAAAUUACAAAACUUCAUACCAUAUGGUUGGAAUACUGUUAUGCUGUGUUUGGUUGCACAGAAUUGGCCUCUGUACUGAAUUGGCAAUGGAAUACCAAAUCAACGAUUUCAAUGGAAUACCAUAAUUGUUGUUUGGAUGCGCAUGGUAUUCAUCUGUAGAAUCGAAGCAGCAAUGGAAUUCUAAAUCCUGUUUGGAUGUACCUUGUGUGGAAUUAAAAGUUUUUUAACUUUUAAACAAUAUAAGUUGUGAAAUAUGAAUGAAAAUGACAUAGAAUGUGUUUGUAUGUAGACUAGCUAAUUUUGAGUUAUUUUCCUAAAUCAAUUUCCGAAAUUGCAUACACGCAUCCUAUCUUCACCAAACUAGCACACGCAUCCUAUCUUCACCAAACUAGCACUACCUCCAUUUUUGCAUCACGAACUAGCAGCUCCCGAGCUUGGGAAAGGAGGAGUCCUGGCUGGAGGAGGCCCUGCCGGUCGAGGAGAUCGAGCACUUUUAACAUUUAUUUUCUCUAAUAUCUUGCACGACACACUAGCACUAUGUGGAGUAUUGGCUGUAUAUUUGCAGAACUUCUCAAAUAUCUGAAUGAUGCAAUUAUCUUGGACAAGGAACGCAUGACAUUGUCAAGGGGUGGUAAGAUUGGAAGAAUUCCCAUAAUCAAUUCAGAAAAAAAACGCAAAAUUCAACUAUGAUUCAUCAUGUAGAAUAGGUCAGAUGCUUACUUUCUGUGCGUGAGAUUCAUCUCCACCAUCAUGCAUUCAUGCCCAUGAUUACUUGAAGAAGCCAUCUGGCGACUUGAGGUGAUUGCUGCGAUGAUCCAUUGGAGGCUGUGUAUGCAGUUACUUUUCUUGGAGAAAAUUUUGUCUCUGUUGUGAUUGUUGUACUUGAACAUCCCCUAUUUCUAAUUUCAUUAGCGGUGGAUGUGAUUUUGGUG